AUACGGAGGGGGUUAGCGUUGUUCGGAAUUACUGGGCGUAAAGCGCACGUAGGCGGAUCGGAAAGUUGGGGGUGAAAUCCCAGGGCUCAACCCUGGAACUGCCUCCAAAACUAACAGUCUAGAGUUCGAGAGAGGUGAGUGGAAUUCCAAGUGUAGAGGUGAAAUUCGUAGAUAUUUGGAGGAACACCAGUGGCGAAGGCGGCUCACUGGCUCGAUACUGACGCUGAGGUGCGAAAGCGUGGGGAGCAAACAGGAUUAGAAACCCUAGUAGUCC
rnacentral:rRNA from 1 species